AAACACAUGCAAGACGAACGAGCGAGAGAGAGCUUGCUUUCUCGAGCGAGUGGCGAACGGGUGAGUAACGCGUGAGGAACCUGCCUCAAAGAGGGGGGACAACAGUUGGAAACGACUGCUAAUACCGCAUAAGCCCACGGCUCGGCAUCGAGCAGAGGGAAAAGGAGCAAUCCGCUUUGAGAUGGCCUCGCGUCCGAUUAGCUAGUUGGUGAGGUAACGGCCCACCAAGGCAACGAUCGGUAGCCGGACUGAGAGGUUGAACGGCCACAUUGGGACUGAGACACGGCCCAGACUCCUACGGGAGGCAGCAGUGGGGAAUAUUGCACAAUGGGGGAAACCCUGAUGCAGCGACGCCGCGUGGAGGAAGAAGGUCUUCGGAUUGUAAACUCCUGUUGUUGAGGAAGAUAAUGACGGUACUCAACAAGGAAGCGACGGCUAACUACGUGCCAGCAGCCGCGGUAAAACGUAGGUCACAAGCGUUGUCCGGAAUUACUGGGUGUAAAGGGAGCGCAGGCGGGAAGACAAGUUGGAAGUGAAAUCUAUGGGCUCAACCCAUAAACUGCUUUCAAAACUGUUUUUCUUGAGUAGUGCAGAGGUAGGCGGAAUUCCCGGUGUAGCGGUGGAAUGCGUAGAUAUCGGGAGGAACACCAGUGGCGAAGGCGGCCUACUGGGCACCAACUGACGCUGAGGCUCGAAAGUGUGGGUAGCAAACAAGAGUAGAUACCCUGGUAGUCCUCUCCGUAAACGAUGAUUACUAGGUGUUGGAGGGAUUGACCCCUUCAGUGCCGCAGUUAACACAAUAAGUAAUCCACCUGGGGAGUACGACCGCAAGGUUGAAACUCAAAGGAAUUGACGGGGGCCCGCACAAGCAGUGGAGUAUGUGGUUUAAUUCGACGCAACGCGAAGAACCUUACCAAGUCUUGACAUCCUGCGACGCACAUAGAAAUAUGUGUUUCCUUCGGGACGCAGAGACAGGUGGUGCAUGGUUGUCGUCAGCUCGUGUCGUGAGAUGUUGGGUUAAGUCCCGCAACGAGCGCAACCCUUACUGUCAGUUACUACGCAAGAGGACUCUGGCAGGACUGCCGUUGACAAAACGGAGGAAGGUGGGGAUGACGUCAAAUCAUCAUGCCCUUUAUGACUUGGGCUACACACGUACUACAAUGGCGUUAAACAAAGAGAAGCAAGACCGCGAGGUGGAGCAAAACUCAGAAACAACGUCCCAGUUCGGACUGCAGGCUGCAACUCGCCUGCACGAAGUCGGAAUUGCUAGUAAUCGUGGAUCAGCAUGCCACGGUGAAUACGUUCCCGGGCCUUGCACU
rnacentral:rRNA from 1 species